GCGGGCGUAGUUCAGUGGUAGAACGCUGUCCUGAUAAGACAGAGGCCCUUGGUCCGAUUCCAAGCGCCCGCACAA
rnacentral:tRNA from 2 species